AGAACACCAAAAGAAUUUGUUUGGAUAGACGUGCAGACUAGAUUAAUCAUUGUCAAGUUUGCUCAUCCAUUUUAGCUCUUUGAUCGCUAAGGUAACCAACAGUAAGUCUUG